rnacentral:rRNA from 1 species
UACGUAGGGGGCAAGCGUUAUCCGGAUUUACUGGGUGUAAAGGGAGCGUAGACGGCAGCGCAAGUCUGGAGUGAAAUCCCAUGGCUUAACCAUGGAACUGCUUUGGAAACUGUGCAGCUGGAGUGCAGGAGAGGUAAGCGGAAUUCCUAGUGUAGCGGUGAAAUGCAUAGAUAUCACGAAGAACUCCGAUUGCGAAGGCAGCUUACCAGUCUGCGACUGACGCUCAGGCACGAAAGUGUGGGUAUCGAACAGG